CAACAGAGCCAAUGACCACAUUCAAAACCAUGAGACCAAAAUAAUCUUUCCUCCCAUAAGUCAUAUAUGUCAGGUAUUAGGUCAGAGUGGUGAGAAAGCUAACCCAACCUAAGUGUGCAGCAUUUGUCACCACAGCUGAGUAAGUCUGUACUUCUCCAAUGAAAAAGGUUUCCUUGCUUCUUAGCCAGGCCACCACUGGAGAGCAGCAGCCAUGGCCCUGCACUACCCCAUGGCCGUGGGCCUCAACAAGAGCCACAAGGUGAGGAAGAGUGUCAGCAAGUCGAGACACAGCUGGCGCCUCACCAAGCACACCAAGUUUGUGUGGGACAUGAUCUUGGAGGUGCGUGGCUUCGCACCCUACAAGUGGCUUCAAGUGGAGUUGCUUCAAGUGUCCAAAGACAAGAGCGCACUCAAGUUCAGCAAGAAGUGGGGAGGCAUGCAAGUCCAUGCCAAGAGAAAGCAAGAGAAGCUGAGCAACGUGUUGGCAGCCAUGAGGAAGGCGGUAGCCAA
rnacentral:lncRNA from 1 species